GAUGGGCAUGGUGGCGCAUGCCUGUAAAUCCCAGUGGCUCAGGAGGCUAAGACAGGAGGAUCGUGAGUCUCAGUAGCGGUGAGGUACUAAGCAACUCAAUGAGACCCUGUCUUUA
rnacentral:sRNA from 1 species